rnacentral:lncRNA from 1 species
AUGGCAAAGAAAAGAAAUAACAAUGGUCAUGCCAAAAAGGGCCACAGCCACGUGCAGCCUAUUUGCUACAUGAAUUAUGCCCUAUGCCUACCCAAAGGCAAGACUAUUAAGAAGUUCAUCAUUCAAAACGUAGUAGAGACUGCACCUGUCAGGGACAUUUCUGAAGCUAGUAUCUUUGACGCCUAUGGGCUUCCCAAGUUGUUCGUGAAAUUCUGUUACGGUGGGAGUUGUGUCAUUCACAGCAAGGUAGACAGGAAUUAAUCUUGUGAAGCUUGCAAGGACCGAACACCGCCACCCUGAUUCAGACCUAUGGGUGCUGCCACAUGACCCCUACCAAAGCCCAUAUAA